rnacentral:rRNA from 1 species
AUGAAUUGCUUGGCCUAGAACUGUCGAGGACUGGGGUUGGACUCGACAGUAGGCGAACUUCGGGACCUCAUACAGUCACACAACCCAGUGGUGGUUUUCUUAUCAGAAACAAAAAAGAGUGCGAAGGCUAUGGAGAGAUUGAAGUGGAGACUUGGUUUCAGAAGCGGAGUGGCUGUGGAUUGUAAUGGGAGGAGUGGAGGACUUGCAUUAUGGUGGAGAGAGCAU